rnacentral:rRNA from 1 species
GUCUAUGGCAAUACAACCCUAAAUGCACCUGAUCUCAUCUGGUCUCAGAAGCUAAGUAGGGUUGGGCCUGGUUAGUACUUGGAUGGGAAAAAGAUCCUCAGAAGAGAUUGCUCAGAGACAAGCAGUUUGGAGACA